GAUGGAGUUUGAAUUCGUAGUGGACAUGCGGUGAUCGUGUCAUCGUCUGAUUGCCUAGGCGAUCAUUAUUAAUCUAAUUGCAUUGGCUUUUGCACACGAAUUACUUCAUUACUUUGCUAAUCAAUUGAAUAUGAUCCGAGUUUGAUAGGAUUUCAUCUCAUUAUCAGACAUGGAUCGUUCGACAUUUAUUUUGUGUUGUUGAAGACAGCAUGGUUGGAUUAUUCAGGCAGUGAGUUCAUCGUUUUUCGCUUAGUGGAAGAAAUAGUGGAUCAAUCGGAGCUUGUUGCGUACAAUUAUAAUGUGGCUGACCCCGCGUGUUCCAACCGCUUUAAUUUACUGAUUUGGUUCGAUCGAUUAUCCUCAUGGAUGGAUUUUCUUCGUUGUGAAAACUGUGGACAAAGGGAUUUUCCGUUGCUUACAAGGAGAGUAUUAUUUACCAAGAAAAUUCCUUUGGUGGAAUGGAACAAUUAUUUAUUGCAACUUGGACUCUGUGAAAAUGGGAUUUAUUGCCAAAAUGGAUAUUAUGUAUACUUGUACUUUAUUGAGGACAUUUAUCAAUCGGACUGGACAUUUAUCAGCGGUUUCGGUCUUUGUUGACGCCAUUUCGCUUUUGAAAUUGUUUUGAGGAGAAAAGAGAAGAAGUCGGAAGGUAUGUUUAUAUCACUAAUAAUUUAAUUGUUCUUACUAUAAGAAAGCAUUAUUUUUAUUGCUUGAAUAUGGAAUACCAGAAGAAAGUUUUCAUUUCCGCUUUACUGUCGGUUAAGUAACGUUUCUCUUCUCUCUACAGACAAGAGAUGACAAUUAUAAUCAAGUUUUUAGAAAGGGCAAAAAAAGCAAAAGAAAGCCCCCAAAAAGGGGCAAAAAACUGCAUCUUUUAUGCCGGUAGCAGACCUGUUUUUCAUCGUUGACAUUUUUUGUUCGUUGUUUAGUUUAGUUUUUUAGUUUGUUUAGGUGUUUAUGUUUAUCUUAUAAAUUUGUUGUUUAUUGUAAAUUGUAUACAUAGUUAAAGAUGGUUUUAGUUAUUCUUGAUAAAUUAUUGUUACAACGAAA